rnacentral:lncRNA from 1 species
GGUCAGGGAAGUCCUGGAGGAGACGGGCUUGAGCAGGAAGAGGGAGCUAUUCCAGGCCAAGGACAUGGUCAAGGCCCGGGGGGUUGAGUUGGUCGAUACCAGAACCCGUCUUCCCCACAGGAAGCAUUUUCUGUUAUUGGAGUCAGUCUAUACAGUUUGCUCAAGGACGACCCAGUGAGCUUCAGUGAACCCAAUGGGAAUGUCCAGGGAAUGGGGAGUUUGAGUCAACUUUAUAUUUUGGGACGCUGACUCUUAAGCUCAUUUUCUAGAUGAGUAGGUGAAAAAACUAAUGUGGAUGGUUCCAUUUAGUUCUAUUAAGUAUUCAGCUUGAUGCAUUUUCACAAAGUGAACACCUUUGUGUCACCAGCAUGCAGACCAAGAAAUACAACAUCUCCAGUACCCCUGUGUAACCACCAUCUCAACUUAAGCAGCGCUUCGUUUCACCUGUUCGUGCACACGUAGGGAUAUGGAGUCUUACAUUAUGUAUUCUCCUGGGUUAGUUUCCUUUGCUUACCCUUAUGUCUGUGAGGUUCAUCCAUGCUAUUGUGUGUGGCUGCAGAAUGUUCAUUCUCAGGGCUGCUUAGUGAUGUGAUAUGAAUGUACCACAAUUUUAUAUCCAUUCUGUUGAAGGACAUUUGGAUAGUUUCUGGCGGGGGGCUAUUAUGAAUAGUGCUGCCAUGAAUGUUCUAGAAUAUAGGUGAGUAGAUGUGCAAAUUUCUGUUGCGUACGUGCCUAGGAGAGGAAUUAUUGGAUCACAGGAUGUGUAUGCUCAGCUUCAGCAGACGAGCAGGGCACUUCAGAGUGAAAGCGGCACUAUUAAUACUUAUGGCCAGACAACAGGCAUAAACCUGACCUGGCCCCUAUCAACCAGGACUGACCCAGGCCGGUAGGAGGUGGGGCUACCCUGGUACACAAUGUUUGACCACUCUCCUCAAGAGUCACCCAGCUACUAGUGCAUCUGGUCAUCUGGCAGGAUCAGGCUUCCAGGCUCUGCUGACCACAAGUUCUGCUGCCAGCAAGGCUGGCAGGCCUAGAAGGGGAGGAGGGCCUCUGCUGCUUCCAACUUUCGAGGGAAAAACUCUCAAGUGAAAAGGAGGGCCCAGGAAUCAGGGCCCUCUCCGCCUUCCUACUGUGAGCUAAUGACCCACCUUGCAUGGCCCCAAGAUGCCAUGGACUUGUCAGCUUACUUCUUCAGGGCUAAAUCCCCAAGGAAGCCCAGCUCCUCUCCAACCCCUGAAGAAAUCUAAGGAGAGAGUGGAGUUGAUAAGCAUAUACUGAAUGCACAUGUUCUCUCAGAUCCUCCACAUCCCUACUGGUGAGUGAUACUGUUGCCCCAUUUCACAGGUAUUAAAACCAGGUCUUGGCCGGGUGUGGUGGCUCAAGCCUGUAAUCCCAGCACUUUGGGAGACUGAGGUGGGCGGAUCACCUUAGGUCAGGAGUUCGAGACCAGCCUGACCAACAUGGGGAAACUCCGUCUCUACUAAAAAUACAAAAAUAAGCCGAGCUUGGUGACGCGUGCAUGUAAUCCCAGCUAGCCGGGAGGCUGAGGCAGGAAAAUCACUUGAACCUGGGAGGUAGAGGUUGCCGUGAGCCAAGAUGGCGCCACUGCACUCCAGCCUGGGCAACAGAGUGAGACUCCCUCUCAAAAAAAUAACCAAACAAGUCUUGGGGCAGUUAAAUAUAAAUAGCUAAGGAUUUUGCCUCUUUCCGCUCUACUGCUUCUAUUCCCAGGCUGGAUGGGCUUGCUGCCUCCUCCCAGCCUGGCCAGAUGGAUCCCUCCACGUACCACCACCAAGGGUGUGGCCUUGAAAUGGGUAGCUACAUUCCUGUCCUCAAGGGGCUUGCAUUGAGUGGGGUGCACGAGGGGAUAGACAAGUACACAGGCAAUUCCACCAGCGUGGUACAUGCUGUAAUGCCAGCCUGAGGAAGCACAGGGCAGGGGCCCAGGGUGUGGGUGGAGCAUCCCAGGAGGCCUAGGAAGCAGGCAGGUGGGAGCAGUAGGGUGUUUGGCAUGGGGCUGGACUUGGGCCUGUGAGAGAUGCGGUGGGCAGGUAUUUGGUAUGCACCAUGCCCUACAUUCCUUUGAAGCAAGUUUUGGAUAUGAAUUGGGUUCCAUCAAAGAAAGAAAUUUGGGGCCAGGCACAGUGGCUCAUGCCUGUAAUCCCAGCAUUUUGGGAGGCCGAGGCGGGAGGAUCAUUUGAAGUCAGGAGUUUGAGACCAGCCUGACCACAUGGUGAAACCCAUCUCUACUAAAAUUACAAAAAACGUAGCCAGGCAUGGUGGCGCAUGCCUGUGAUCUCAGUUACUCGAGAGGCUGAGGCAGGAGGACUGCUUAAACCCUGGAGGCAGAGGUUACAGUGAGCUGAGAUCAUGCUACCGCACUCCAGCCUGGGCGACAGAGUAAGACUCCGUCUCAAAA